rnacentral:rRNA from 1 species
UACGUAGGGUGCGAGCGUUGUCCGGAAUUAUUGGGCGUAAAGGGCUCGUAGGCGGUCUGUUACGUCGGGAGUGAAAACUCGGGGCUCAACCCCGAGCCUGCUUCCGAUACGGGCAGACUAGAGGUAUGCAGGGGAGAAUGGAAUUCCUGGUGUAGCGGUGAAAUGCGCAGAUAUCAGGAGGAACACCGGUGGCGAAGGCGGUUCUCUGGGCAUUACCUGACGCUGAGGAGCGAAAGCGUGGGGAGCGAACAGG